CACCGGGCAGAUUGUGCCGAGUCGCUCCUCAGUGUUUCAGACCGGGAGGGUACGCCCGGUACAGGGAUGCGGUGACAGAAGUAACAGCUGCUUCCACUUGGUCUUCAUAAGCGCAGCGCGGUUCUAAGGAAAAAAAGUUUGGGAUCUACCCCUUGACUGGUUCAGCCACUUAACAGCUCUGACCACAAUUCUUCUUUAGCAAUGGGUGGAUAUGAGAUGCAUUUCUGAAGUAGGCAGUGAAAAUUGAGAAAGGGAAACCUCACUAACGUGGCAUCGGGAGAGAAGGGGAAAGUUGAUUACAGACCCCAAAGAAGAAUCCUCAACAGGAAGGAAUCAUCAAUGACAGACCCCAACAGGGGAAGAUGGGCAUUGCAUCGCCUACGAGAAAUUGCCUAUUCUUGCAGCUCAGCCCAGGAGAGGCCACCACCCUGAACACACCUCCUUUGAGUGUUUGUUUCCUUUUACACAAAGUGGACUUUCCUUAAGAACAACCCCUCACAGCCUCCCCAUUUUUCUUUAUAACUUUCCUUUUUUUUGUUGGACUUAGCUUGAUUUUACAUAGCUUGCACAUAAUGAAUUGCAAUUCUCUGCUGUUUCUGAAUAAAUCCGUUUUUGCUGGUUAAACAAAACAAA